CACCUUAUACCUCGGAAGCCUCUCAGCCUCCUCUUUCCUCCGUGAACGCGCUGAGCAGCGAUUGAAAGCGCUUUGGUCCUCUGCAGGUUUGAGCAGGGCUAGUAGGGGCGUGUUCUGGGGUCUCAGAGCUACACCGGCCCUAGGCGCUCUCUCCAGCUGCAGCCAAGCUCUACACCACCCUCGGGCCGUGGUGGCAGAGGAUCCCCACUUCCGCGGACCCUGGAACCGAAGCGGGCCUUUCCCUGGAGGCCGACCGCACGCCUUAGGGGACGCCGAGAAAAGAGCCGCUGCGGCCGCCGCCUUCCGCCUACUGCGCAGAGGGCUCCACCGUAGAGGUCAACUCCCCUCGCCCCUUCCUCUCCUCUGCUCGCCCUCCCUCCGCCCUGCCCAGGUUCCUCCAGCCUCCUGACUCAGGCCGCAGUCUGAGGAGUGCGCAUCUGCUGCGCGGCUCUGAACCAUAACCCCGAACCAAGCCGGGCCCAGCCUUGAGGUCCACGCUCCCCGGCAGUGGGGAAGCCUUAGCGAGCAGCUUUUUCUCUCUACUGCAAAGCUGUAGCCAGACCAGAUGGGCCACCCGGCUCUCUCGGGACUAGGCAGGUGCGGUUGAGUUAAUUUUUCCGCAUUACAAAGAAAGAUGACCCAGCCCGCCCUUGGACUUUCCUGUCUUCCCCAAAUCUAACCAAAACCGCAGUAACGUUAUCGGAGGACACAGAGACUAGGCACAUCUGCGUGUUUACCUUACGUAUACACACGUAUGAUUAUGUUCCCCUUUAUGUGCUAGAUCUCAUCAGCAGGAAAUGAUUGGCAAGGCUUUCUGCAGCAGAGCAUGCCAUGGCGAGGUCCUUAAAAUCUGCCAUCCCUUACAAGCGACUUAGAAGAGAUUCGGGGCAAACCAACCCGGUUAAUUGCCUUCAGUGAAAUAACACGAUUACGAAAUUAGAUCUGUAACAGAGGGGUAAUUAACUUCGAUCCUCGCCGUCAUUUGAAAACUAAAUUUAUAGGCGUAUGAGUGUUUUUAGGUGUGCUGCAAAUGGCAUGCAGAUAUAUGCAUAUGUAUACGCAGACAUGCAUCGUCUACACUUCUACCGAUCAGUCUAAUUAGCAGCGGGCUCUGGCAGCUGUGGCCGGAGGCGAGCGGAGACAGGAGCUGGGCUUCUGAGUUAUGACUCUGGCGGAGUCUUAGGGACUCAGAGCUCCCGGGAGGGGAAGGGCAGGAGACGUGUGAUAUUCGCAGGGGGUCAGUUACUUUCGGAUCAAGAUCAGACUCUGCCCUCCGUGUUCACAGCGGACCUUGAUUUAAUGUCAUACAAUUAAGGCACGCGGUGAAUGCCAAGAGCGGAGCCUACGGCUGCACUUGAAGGACACCAGAGCGUCUCUGGAUGUGGCAGGGGAAAAGGCAACUGCAAUGGGAUUUGAGAAGUGGUAGACCGAACCCAUCUUUUGAGGAUAGAGACCCUGAAACUGAUUCAGAACCACCCUAGUGUUCCGCACGCAAAAGGGUCAUAGUUCUCAGUAAAAGCUGGAAAUCUACACGCAAAUCCCGGAUGGGAAUUUUAGGGGAGCUUCAGUGACAGCUAUCAGGAGAGCAGGAGUAUCCGUUUGUGCAAAUAUUCUAGAGAGUUGAAGCGUUUAGAAAGCAGUGGUUCUUUCAAGAGUGGGUAGCAGGAUUGUUGGCGAUUCUGGGCCAAACUGCGGUAACAGGACGAACGAGAGAGAGCAUAACAAAUGGCGUUCUCACCACAUUGCGCAAGAAACCCCAACCGGCUCAGCUCCUUGGGGAAGCUUGGAACCACCCACCACCACCACCACCACCGACACCACUUUCUCUUUUUCUUCCUAAUCUCGAGUCUGCCUAGCCUGGCUUUAAAAAGCCAAGAUAAAUCCCUUGUUUCCUCAUAGUCGCAGUGGCCAAAUCAGUCAAAGGAGUAGGACAAGAAACUUUAGAAGGACUUGGUAAAUUAAUUUAUUUGAAAGCCAACGAGGUGGACUUUGUUAAGGUAGUAGUUUGCACCACUGCCUUAGAGCCCCAGAAAAACCCAGGCUGGGAAAGCGAGCCUUGAUAGAUGUCUUUGUUCUGCCUUGGCCUGCAGGGGCCGCGAACAAAGGAGAGGAGCUGAGGAGCAUCCACUGAAGUGGCCGCGCCCUCCGCCCCUGCCGCUGUCCGCGGUGCUGACCACGGCCCUCUGUAAUUUCACCGAAAUGCAAUAGGGCCGUCCUGUCCCUGCCCCAAAGUAUAACAGGCUAUUAGGUAAUUUGUGAAAGAAAAAUUGAAAGCAGAGAAAUGCCAUAUACACUAAACCUAAUAUUUACCGAAACAGUCCUCUCUAGCUGUUGCCAUACCUGAUUUGUGCUUUUCCAACUUCAGGUAGUUAUGCAUAUACAGUUAGGGAAACAACUUCAGUUUAUUUAAGCUGAAACCCGAAUCUCAGCAAUGGACAGGACUUGCAAGAAGAAUUAGAAGAAUGAAGUCUCCAUUUUCUUUCCUUGAGUCCUUUCCCUUAAAACACACCAAGUAAGGCCCUCAGCACCGCAGUUUAACAAUGCUGGUUCACCGAAGGGACUCGUGAUGGACUCAAGUGUGGGCCUCAAGAUGUACCAGGACAGGAUGGAAUGGGGACUGACUAGUUGAGCCUCAACAGGAACCCAAUACCUAGUCUGUGUCCUCGGGCCAGGCUUGCACCAGAGCAGCCGUCCUAGGCAGAUCCAAAGCGCGGAGCUCUGCAGACAGCCUUGGAACACGGAGCUUGCCUCACGUUUCCGGGCCGCCGGGAGGCACUGCAGGGCCAGGAAACCUGAAACCCGCACUGCGGAAAAACCGACCACAGCAGCCUCCUCAUAGCUUUGGCAGGUGAAACACGGCAGGGUGGUUUACUAGAUCCCAGCAAUGAACAUUUGCUUUAGGAGUCUAGGGUCGUAUGGGUCAGUAUGAAUAUAUUCAAUACAUCUGUAAAUAUCUCAGCAUAUUCCAUCGUUUGAACCUAAAUAUUGACAGCAUUGCAUAUAAAUAGAUUUCUUAAUUAAAUAAUAAAUCAAAGAGGAGAGAGAGACAGAGAGAGAACAAACUAACCAAUUUGCAGACAGCCUGGGGUCUCAAAAGAAAUUGUUACUCAUUUACUUGCAUUAGUUUAUAAUUCCACAAAUGUAAAUGAUGUUAAAAUUAGGAAUAGAUAAAACAAUCCAGAUUGGGCAAUAAAGACAGCAACGCCAAUUUUGGAAAUGGGCCAUAAAUGGGUCAUAUAUUUAAUCAGAUUUGUUCUUUUACACCUGAAUUAUGGAUAUACAAGAAAUGAUUCAUAAAAUAAACCGACCAAGUACAAUAUCCUCAGCCAGAUAUAUCCUUUCUCCAGCCCUCAAGGUGGAUUUUAUUUAUCUUUUCAUUUUAGGACUCUGUGAGUUUGGUCUUUCAUGUACAUUGAUGACUUAGGUUUGUAUUUCAUCUUAUACAAUUUGGGAGGUGGUAGGUAAAACACACUAGAGAAAAAGGGGAGUACUCAAAUGACAAAAGGAAAGGGUUGGGAGAAUAUUAUUCAUGUGCCCAUGUAGGGCAGUCAGCAGACAUCAAAAUGGGUUUGAAAUAUUAUACGUUAGCAUGAAAGCCUUGAUUUUCUUCCAGUAUUUGUGCAACUGCACUAACCCCCUGCAUCCACUUUCCCCCAGAUAGAUCAUGAAGGAACAAGGUCAAAGGUUGCAAAAUAUUCCUUCCUGAAUGGUGUUGUAAUUCACAUUAUGUAAUAGAAACACACCUAAUCUCUCUUACCCUAAUCCUUCCUGUUUGGGACAGUCUAAACUCCUCCUCCAGAAACCUUAAUCAGUUUUAAAAAUUACUUUCUAAAUAUAAAUAAAAUACAUACUGUGAAAGAGAAGGUAAAAUACCACUUAAAGGAACACACAAUUUUGUAAUCUGCUGUGAUUAAAUCUAGAGGGAUUAUUGAUUUGUAAUAUUUUAAAAAUUUUUAAAGACUAUUUUUAAUUUCUCUUGAAAAUAAUCAUCCACUUUAAUGUCCAUUGCCAAUGUCCUUGUUAUGAAAUUCUGUGCUCAGCAUUUUUGUAAUAAAUCAAUCAAGGUUUCGUAAUUGGAAAACUUCGGUGCAAGGUGCCGUGGAGGUCCUUUAACAAU